GUGGACAUAGUUUAAUUUAAGACAUUAGGGUGUGGACCUAAAAAAGGGGGUUAGAAUCCCCCUGUCUACC
rnacentral:tRNA from 1 species